CUGCCCUCAAGCCCGGCUUGUGUGUUGGGUCGCCGUCCCCCCGGGGACGGGCCCGAAAGGCAGCGGCGGCACCGCGUCCGGUCCUCGAGCGUAUGGGGCUUCGUCACCCGCUCUGCAGGUCCGGCCGGCUGCUGGCCGACAACCUUUUUUUUAUCCA
rnacentral:misc_RNA from 1 species